UUCUUGUUGUUUUUGUCAUUUUUGUUUGUUUGUUUGUUUUUAGCUAGGCAUCUACCUUCCCAAUAGGAAGGUCCAAAUACAGCCCCCCCUUCCUUUUUAGAGAUUGGAGUAAGAUGAGAGAAGCACUGUGGAAUAGACCAGGCUUAGAGAUAGAAAGGCCUAGGCUCAAAUUUUGCCUUGGACGCUUGCUAGCUGUGUGACCUUGGUAUCAUCACCUUUAAAGACUCCUUCUAUCAAUGCAGAUCAGUACCUUCUCUGCAACUAAAAAUCUCAGAGACUCACCUAAAGCAUAGAGGGGCCCAGCCCUUGAGUGCGGAUGGAUCGUGUCUAGAAGAUGCUGCAAUGUUCUUAAAAUUGAUGCUAACCACAAAUGGAGCCUGUCAAGGACCUUGCCAUCCAGAGGGAGGCCCUCUCCAACUUAGGGCUUCUAGCUGGAGAUCUCUGAAGCAUCUACGCCUCUCUGGUUUAUCCCUUGUUUAAUAUUAAAAAUCAAAGGAUCAUGAAAUAAGGUUUUCUCAGUGUUUCCAUCGCUUAUGGAAACUGAGAUCAUUUUGAUGUGUGCCUUGAAGGUACCUUGUUGGGAGAGUGAUUUGUAUACGUCAACAAAUAGAAAGCAGAUUAGGAGCUUGGAUUCUUUAUGAAUUUCAAUCAGUUAUGUGAUGGUGAAGACGUGGCCCUCUGUUCAAGCACAGAUCAGAUUGUAUCACAGUA